AGCUUCCGCCUGCUACGGUCCUGGCAAGCACCUCGGGAUCCCAUUCCUUCACAGGGACCCUAGCCAGGAGUCUCUGCAUUAGUUGGACAGCUCUUCUGGAAUUAUCUUCUAAGUCAACUGUGGGUUGGGUAGGUGGCUCUGCUGAUUUUUCGCUGGACUUCCACAUUUGGGACGAGUUGGCUGUCAUCAGCUCUAGAAAGGGUGUGGCCGUUUUACAUUGGCUGUUUUCCUCACAUUCCUCAAGCAGGUACUGUAAUAAAGAACUGGAGAAAUACAGUCAGAUGGGAAGUAGCCCUUGCUGUCAAGGAGCUUGCCAUCUAAUGGGGGAGACAGGCAAGUAAACCAAAGACUACACAGUGCAGUAUGGUAAGUGCCAUGAUUUUGAUGUGACAGGGCACAGUGGACGACCUUCCAAAUCAAAGCAAGUAACUAGGGGUUGACAAUGGUAAGUAUCAUAGUUGAAGUAUCCUUGAACAAGGUUUCAGGAAGAAGAAGAAGGGAAUUUCAUGCAGGGAAACAGCCAAAGCUCAGUGAGUCAAAAUAUCACAGCAUUCUUGGUAAGCCCAAUUGUUUUUUCUGUUUUGCUAUUUUGGUGGAGAGAAAGGAACACAUAAAGGAAUAACAUGAGAGAAGGCUAUUUGGGGAAGUGUAGUAGUUAAGGUUCUGGCUCAAACAACAACUGCAGCUCAUAAAGUUGACUUUAGUGGAAGGAUACUGGGGUAUCUCAUGGAAUCUUGGGAACUGUUGAAUAACCAGGGAAACUCUGGGAAACUCACUGGUAGGAAUCCAUAAACUGUCCUCCUGGUGGGCUGUAAACAACUCACCCUCUAUGCAUCUCACAUCAAAAUUCCAGUUUCUUGGGAAAACAAGUCUGUUUGCCCAAUUUGGGUCAUAUUUCCACGUCCAUGUUACUCAGGCAUGAUUCAUCUGCAAGUUAUGUGUAUAGAUAUUUUGCUACUGUUCCACCCUUACGCUGUGCUGGGGAGGGAGGUGUCACUGUGAGCUGUGUCGGUGCCUUAAGAGAUAUCUGUUGUGUCUUAUUACUUGGUUGCUUUUCCCCACAUGUACAAUGACAAAAAUGCCUUCAACCUAUUUGAUCCAGCCGUUCCAGUACAACUCCUAUACUUGCCAUCUUUCCAAGCCCAAAGGUACAUCCAGCUGAUGGAAGGAGCAUCUUGGUGUUAAUAUUCUUUUAGUCAUGGUCUCUGAAAGUAAAAUGUCUAUUCUUCUAAUUCUGGCACAAUCUUAUCUAGCUAUAGUUCCUCAUGGUCCUGCACUCCAUGGACUAAAUUAUUAACUCUUAGGUGACAAAGCCA
rnacentral:lncRNA from 1 species